AGUGGAUGGGGAGCAACCUAGUUGUGCGUGUGUAAAGGUAGUGCCAAGAAAAGCGAUGAUCAUGUUGAAAAUCAAUUCCCGGUACCCGAAACCGACACAGGUGGGCAAGUAGAGAAUACUAAGGGGCGCGAGGUAACUCUCUCCAAGGAACUCGGCAAAAUGACCCCGUAACUUAGGGAGAAGGGGUGCCACCGAGAGGUGGUCGCAGUGAAGAGGCCCAGGCGACUGUUUAGCAAAAACAUAGGUCUCUGCAAACUCGAAAGAGGAGGUAUAGGGGCUGACGCCUGCCCAGUGCCGGAAGGUUAAAGAAGUUGGUCAGUUUUAGGAUGAAGCUAGCGACUGAAGCCCCGGUGAACGGCGGCCGUAACUAUAACGGUCCUAAGGUAGCGAAAUUCCUUGUCGGGUAAGUUCCGACCCGCACGAAAGGCGUAACGAUCUGGGCGCUGUCUCGGAGAGAGGCUCGGCGAAAUAGGAUUGUCUGUGAAGAUACGGACUACCUGCAUUUGGACAGAAAGACCCUAUGAAGCUUUACUAUAGCUUGGAAUUGUGUUCGGGCUUCCUGUGCGCAGGAUAGGUGGGAGGCGUAGAAGGUAUUCUUGUGGGGAUACUGGAGCCAACGGUGAGAUACCACUCUCAGGAGGCUAGAAUUCUAACUUAAUUAAGGACAGUUUCAGGUGGGUAGUUUGACUGGGGCGGUCGCCUCCAAAAAGGUAACGGAGGCGUACAAAGGUUCCCUCAGACUGGUUGGAAAUCAGUCGAAGAGUGCAAAGGCAGAAGGGAGCUUGACUGCGAGAAGUACAGUUCGAGCAGGGUGGAAACACGGUCUUAGUGAUCCGACGGUGCUGUGUGGAAGGGCCGUCGCUCAACGGAUAAAAGUUACUCUAGGAUAACAGGCUGAUCUCCCCCAAGAGUUCACAUCGACGGGGAGGUUUGGCACCUCGAUGUCGGCUCAUCGCAACCUGGGGCGGAAGUACGUCCCAAGGGUUGGGCUGUUCGCCCAUUAAAGCGGAACGUGAGCUGGGUUCAGAACGUCGUGAGACAGUUCGGUCCAUAUCCGAUGUAGGCGUGAGAAUAUUGAGAGGAGCCUUCCUUAGUACGAGAGGACCGGGAAGGACGCACCGCUGGUGUACCUGUUAUGAUGCCAAUUGUAAACGCAGGGUAGCCAAGUGCGGAGAGGAUAACCGCUGAAAGCAUCUAAGUGGGAAGCCCACCUCAAGAUGAGUAUUCUGGUGUAAGGUCACGGGAAGACGACCCGUAAAUAGGCACGAGGUGGAAGUGCAGAGAUGUAUGAAGCCGAAGUGUACUAAUAGACCGUCGGCUUGACCA
rnacentral:rRNA from 1 species